rnacentral:rRNA from 1 species
GACAGAGGGUGCAAACGUUGUUCGGAUUUACUGGGCGUAAAGCGCGUGUAGGCGGCUUGGCAAGUCGGAUGUGAAAGCCCACGGCUCAACCGUGGAAGCGCACCCGAAACGGCCUCGCUCGAGUCUCGGAGAGGAAGGUGGAAUGCUUGGUGUAGAGGUGAAAUUCGUAGAUAUCAAGCGGAACACCGGUGGCGAAGGCGGCCUUCUGGACGAUGACUGACGCUGAAGCGCGAAAGCGUGGGGAGCAAACAGG